GACGAACGCUGGCGGCGUGCCUAAUACAUGCAAGUCGAACGGAAAGGCCCUGCUUUUGUGGGGUGCUCGAGAGGCGAACGGGUGAGUAACACGCGUGUAACCUGCCCCUGACUUUGGGAUAACUUCAGGAAACUGGGGCUAAUAUCGGAUAGGAGCUCCUGCUGCAUGGUGGGGGUUGGAAAGUUUCGGCGGUUGGGGAUGGACUCGCGGCUUAUCAGCUUGUUGGUGGGGUAGUGGCUUUCCAAGGCUUUGACGGGUAGCCGGCCUGGGAGGGUGACCGGCCACAUUGGGACUGCGGUACGGCGCAGACGCCUACGGGAGGCAGCGGGGGAGAGUCUUACGCAAUGGGCGGAAGCCUGAUACAGCGGCGCCGCGUGCGGGAUGACGGCCUUCGGGUUGUAAACCGCUUUCGCCUGUGACGAAGCGUGAGUGACGGUAAUGGGUAAAGAAGCACCGGCUAACUACGUG
rnacentral:rRNA from 1 species